AGAAUCAACGCUGGCGGCGUGCCUAACACAUGCAAGUCGCACGAGAAAGGGUAGCAAUACCUGAGUAAAGUGGCGCACGGGUGAGUAACACGUGAAUUAUCUACCUCCGAGUGGGGAAUAACUGAGAGAAAUCUUAGCUAAUACCGCAUAACACUUACGAGUCAAAGCAGCAAUGCGCUUGGAGAGGAGUUCGCGGCAGAUUAGUUAGUUGGCGGGGUAAUGGCCCACCAAGACAGUGAUCGGUA
rnacentral:rRNA from 1 species